ACUUUGGCUGUGCCUGCGCCGCGCCGCGCAGCCUGCGGUCUGGCUCGGUAGCGAGAUGCAGGAGGAGGACUCGCCGCCUCCACAUCCUGCCUCCCGGGCCCGCGCGGCUCUGCGCGCUCAUUGGCCCGCCCUGCAGGAAGAUGAACGCUACUACUUCUGUUUCCUUUUGAUGCUGCUCUGACACCCCGGUGGGGGAAAUGUUUCCUCAGGAGCUGGCGCAGAAAAUUAAGGGCUACCAGGAGCAGAUCGCUUCUUUGAAUUCCAAGUGCAAGAUGCUGACGAUGAAAGCCAAGCACGCCACCAUGCUGCUGACGGUGACCGAGGUCGAGGGGCUGGCGGAAGGGACAGAGGACCUGGAUGGGGAGCUCCUCCCCACGCCUUCGGCCCACCCCUCUGUGGUCAUGGACAUUGCAUAUUACCAAGCCUUGUCUGCUGAGAGGUUGCAGACAGAUGCUGCAAAAAUUCACCCCAGCACAUCCACAUCCCAGGAGUUCUAUGAACCGGGAUUGGAGCCAUCCGCUACUGCCAAACUGGGUGAUUUGCAGCGUUCUUGGGAAACCUUAAAGAAUGUGAUCAGUGAGAAGCAGCGCACACUCUAUGAAGCUUUGGAACGCCAGCAGAAGUACCAGGACUCCCUCCAGUCCAUCUCUACGAAGAUGGAGGCCAUUGAGCUGAAACUCAGUGAGAGCCCAGAGCCUGGCAGGAGUCCAGAAAGCCAGAUGGCUGAACAUCAGUCUUUCCUCCAGGCAUUGAUGGAUGAGAUUCUCAUGCUCCAGGAUGAAAUCAAUGAGCUCCAGUCCUCUCUGGCAGAGGAGCUGGUAUCCGAGUCUUGUGAGGCCGACCCCGCGGAGCAGCUGGCCUUGCAGUCCACGCUCACUGUCUUAGCCGAGCGAAUGUCCACCAUCAGGAUGAAAGCCUCAGGGAAACGGCAGCUUUUGGAGGAGAAGUUGAAUGAUCAGCUGGAGGAACAAAGGCAGGAACAGGCCCUGCAGAGGUAUCGCUGUGAAGCCGAAGAGCUGGACAGCUGGCUCUUGAGUACCAAGGCCACUCUGGACACUGCGCUGAGUCCACCCAAGGAGCCCAUGGACAUGGAGGCCCAGCUUGUGGACUGCCAGAAUAUGCUGGUGGAAAUAGAGCAGAAGGUGGUGGCUUUAUCAGAACUGUCAGUCCACAAUGAGAACCUGCUGCUGGAGGGCAAAGCUCACACCAAGGACGAGGCCGAGCAGCUGGCUGGAAAGCUGAGAAGGCUCAAGGGGAGCCUGCUGGAGCUGCAGAGAGCGCUGCACGAUAAGCAGCUCAACAUGCAGGUGAGGGUUCCAGCUGCUGGCCCACAGCCGAAAGUUGGCACACUGUUCACGUGCUCCUUCUAAGGUUUGCCAGGUAAAGGAACAGGUUGGCGGUGAUGCAUACUUGUGUAUGUACCUGCUUUACACUGACAUUUUAGCAUGCAGUUUUAAGUUUACACUCUUGGACUUUGGCAAACAUUUGCAAAUAGAUUUUGUUAGGACUACUAACAACAGCAGUUCAGCGGAGUGGUGGAGGCAAAAAGCACUCUGACAUGAAAGUAACAAUGAGAGGAGACGAACUGGAGAGGGAAAGUAAAGGCUACUCCAGGAGUGUUGUUAUAAAGUGGUAUGUAGAGGAAUGAGAUAAGCUAUAAGGAGAAGUGGGUCAAAGAAAAUUUUAUCUCUUUUUUUUCUUUUACAUUCAUCACAAUUUGAGUAUUUCAUUUUAAGAUCAGAAAAAUAAUAAGUUUACACGUUGAUGGAAAUAGUAGAGGAAAAAUUGGUGAAAAAGGAAUGUGGGCAGGGCACCAUGGCUCACACCUAUAAUCCCAGCACUUUGGGAGGUCGAGACAGGCAGAUCACUUGAGGUCAGGAGUUCGAGACC
rnacentral:sRNA from 1 species